UGUGGAGUGUGCGUAUUUCUA
rnacentral:piRNA from 1 species